rnacentral:rRNA from 1 species
GACGAACGCUGGCGGCAGGCCUAACACAUGCAAGUCGAGCGGAUGAGUGGAGCUUGCUCCAUGAUUCAGUGGCGGACGGGUGAGUAAUGCCUAGGAAUCUGCCUGGUAGUGGGGGACAACGUUUCGAAAGGAACGCUAAUACCGCAUACGUCCUACGGGAGAAAGCAGGGGACCUUCGGGCCUUGCGCUAUCAGAUGAGCCUAGGUCGGAUUAGCUAGUUGGUGAGGUAAAGGCUCACCAAGGCGACGAUCCGUAACUGGUCUGAGAGGAUGAUCAGUCACACUGGAACUGAGACACGGUCCAGACUCCUACGGGAGGCAGCAGUGGGGAAUAUUGGACAAUGGGCGAAAGCCUGAUCCAGCCAUGCCGCGUGUGUGAAGAAGGUCUUCGGAUUGUAAAGCACUUUAAGUUGGGAAGAAGGGCAGUAAGUUAAUACCUUGCUGUUUUGACGUUACCGACAGAAUAAGCACCGGCUAACUUCGUGCCAGCAGCCGCGGUAACAC